GAAGGGAAUGCUUAUCACGGGCAACUGAAAUUGUUCUUUAUUGCAGUCAUUGUCUCCACCACUGUUAGAUCCUCAGUAUCAUGGUUGUGCUCUGAAUCUCCAAGCAAAUCAUAUUGGUUGAGAUGAUUGACUGAAACUUAGAGUUGUCAGGUUUGACAGAGCCGUACGUAAUCAUAUCAGCAUUCUUAAUUCAAAGCGACCAUGGUUUCAACAGCUUGGAGUUCUCACAUACUGACCACUUAGACUACAGAACAACAUGAUCUACAUUGCCUUGCUUGGUGGUGGCCAUGUCAAUGUUUCGGUUAUUAGGUCUAACAUCAAUGUGGAAUUUCCCUGCCUAAGAAUGUGACUUUGAUAUUAGGAGGUCAAGUCAAUUUUUUUUUCUUCAUUAUUAGUUAGAGUUGCUAAAACAGGUAGAAUCUUGGCAGAACGAUCACAACGGAACUGAUAACCAACGUAAGGACAAUAUAAGCAGCACCGGCAUGCAGCUGGAGGGACUUGUUCUUUGUUGUUGCUGCUGCUGCUGUACGGUGAAGGGUAGGCAGCAAAAAAGGUUUGUAGAGCUGUAGAAAGAGGUGAGUGGAAGUCCUAAAUGGUGCUCAUGUUUGGAUCGCCGAAGUACUGAUAAUUUGUGAAAUCUUGAAUAUGCUGUAUGAUCUUGAAUACUGAGUCG
rnacentral:rRNA from 1 species